AGAGUGGCGAACGGGUGAGUAAUGCGUGACCGACCUGCCCCAUACACCGGAAUAGCUCCUGGAAACGGGUGGUAAUGCCGGAUGCUCCAGUUGAUCGCAUGGUCUUCUGGGAAAGCUUUCGCGGUAUGGGAUGGGGUCGCGUCCUAUCAGCUUGACGGCGGGGUAACGGCCCACCGUGGCUUCGACGGGUAGCCGGCCUGAGAGGGCGACCGGCCACAUUGGGACUGAGACACGGCCCAGACUCCUACGGGAGGCAGCAUG
rnacentral:rRNA from 1 species